GCCAUGAGUAUUCUCCUGUCCUCCUCCAAACGCCAAAACUCUACCACACUGCGGUUUCACUACAGCCUGGAGAGAUGAUGGAUGAACAACAGUUUUUAAAACCAAAAAAGGCCCUUCUGGGUUGCUCGUAUUUAUGAGCUGAUCGACAGACAAGUUUUGUAUCGGAGAAAUAAAGAGGAGAUUCCAGACCGAAGUGAGACUCCAGAACCUUACGGAUCUUCUCAGUCACGUCGAAGAAAAACUGGGCACUCUUCAUAGGAACAACACCCUCCUGUCCCAUCUAUAAGACAAAAACUUUAAACUGAUGAACACAAAUUUAUUUUUAUACAAUACACAUUGUUACAGCUUUACUGCGUUUUCCUAAAUUGUGCAUUGAAGGUCUUACCUGGAGAGCUUUAAGAACUGUGAGUUCCUGAAACAUCUCGCUCGGAGAAUGAGUACAGAGAGACUUGAUGUUUACUUUGGAGAGGCUGUGAAGCCCCUGACACUCCUCGUAUGAGGUUACACCAUCCAGAACGACUCGUUGUGAACCGUUCAGGGCCGCGGAUGUCAUGGAUACAAUGAUGCCAUCAAAUGGGAGUUUGUUGUCAAUGCUAGGCUGUGUUUGUGCGGGUUACCGAUCUCUUCUGUAAUCCUCGCUGCCGUUUCUCUGUCUGCCCUGCACACAACAUCAACAACAACAUCAGAUGUUUGUUUUGUUCAGCUGUGAAGAAAAGCUCAUAUGUCAGUGUAGCGUUCAGUCUGUACCUCUCUGGCUGAGAUGUUGGCAGCUUUAUCUUCACCCAACACAGCAGAAUAAUACGCCAGGUUCUGCAGCAUCACCUCAUCCUCAGGGUGAAAGAGAAGAUCAUUGGAGCAAAGAAACAGAAGUCCACCUGCCUGUCAUAGCCUGAAAGAGAUCGGCGUUAUACUCCAUGUAAUUGUCGUAGUUGAACGCUCCUUCACAGAGAACCCUGCACUCCUCAUAAGCAGUGAAAUAUUCU